CCAAACUUGGUCAUUUAGAGGAAGUAAAAGUCGUAACAAGGUUUCCGUAGGUGAACCUGCGGAAGGAUCAUUAAUGAGUUAGGGUCUCUUAGGCCCGAUCUCCCAACCCAUUGUUUACCAAACCAUUUGUUGCUUCGGCGAGCCCGUCUUCAUGGACCGCCGGGGAACCGUAAUAGGUUUCCUGGCCCGCGCCCGUCGAUAGCCCCCAACUUAAAAACUCUUAAUUAAACGUGUCUUGACUGAAUACCAAUUUUUAAUUAAAAGUAAAACUUUCAACAACGGAUCUCUUGGUUCUGGCAUCGAUGAAGAACGCAGC
rnacentral:misc_RNA from 1 species